GCCGAGGUAGCCAAGUUGGUCAAGGCACCUGUCUGAAGAACAGGCCAUCUCAGUUCGAUUCUGAGCCUCGGCACCA
rnacentral:tRNA from 1 species